CUGGUGUCAGGGGAGAAACAAAGGGAGAAGCCCCACCCGAUGAGGUGAUGUUUCAACCAAGGUCUAAGAAGAUGUAGCAUACCAAUAGCAAAUGGAGCUCCAGUCUCAGAGCACAGCAUAUGCCAAGUGUCCAAGACAAGAAAGAACUCAGAAUAUUAACAUUACUGAAAGAAAGCUAUUGUUAAGAGCCAAAAUUAGGAGUAGAAUUGCAUGAGAUGAAAAAGGCAGGACUUUUGUAGUCCAUAUAAAAAGAUCAGACUUUAUUAUAUAGAUGGUGGGAAAGGCAUUUGAAGGCUCAGUCAGGAAAUAACAUCUGUUUGGUGUUUGCAGAAUGUUAUUAUUGCUAUGUGAGAGUUUGGAGAAAGAGUCAAGAGGAGAAACUGAUAAAUUAGUUGAGGCUGUCUGUAGAUCAGAAGACUGGAGAAGGGUUUUCGCAGCGGAGAUCAAAAGAAGUAGAUGAGUUUGGAAGUGGUAGGAAAGAUACAGCAAGGGAAGAAAUCAAAGAUUCCUCAUUAGUUUUUGGUUUAAGAAUUAAGAGGAUGGCACUGUUUAUUAGGGAAGUCUAGGAAGGAAAGGUUUGGGACAAGGUGGUGUAGUGUGGGAUGUGUUAAGUUUGAAAUGUCCUAAGGGGACAUGUUAAGCAACAGACAUGUAUAUUGGUAAAGUCUGGACUAGAAAUAAAAGCUAGCAUUAUAAUGAUAUAUGUGGUCUCUGAAAGCACAUCUGAAUGAUAUUACCUAGGAAAAACAUGUAUAAAGAGGCUAGGGCACAGGACUGAUACCAGAGGGAUACCAGUAGUUUGGGACCAUCUUCAUUCCUGGCAAAAACAGCAGCAGUAGGUCUAGGAUAUUUGUCCAUGAUUAGCUGCUGAAAAUUAGUUGUCCUGGGUUUCUGUUAAAUUUGGUUUUUAAGAUCUUUCAUAAUACUAAAAUUAUGAGGCUAAGUUAUCUAAAAUACUCUAAAAAAUUGUGGAAUAUUAAGUAUCAAUGUGAUUAAACCUGUUAAUGUGGUAUACCACAAGAAUUCUAAAAUUAAAAGAGAAAGUUAAACUUCUGUCCCACACUCCAUAUCUGAUUCUGUUGACCUAAUGGUCUAUUCGCUAACUAGUGACUUGUUUUAAGGUUU